UUAUAUCCUCAUUGGGUUGAGUCUUGUUUGACCUUUUCUUUCUAGUUCUUACCUAGAUAGAUUUUUUGGUCCUCCAAGAGUUUAUUACCCAGUAACUGGUAAUAUCCUUCUUGAUGUUGAGUACUUUACCUAUGUUAAUCUACCUAGUAACCGGUAGAAGGUAAUUUACUUCUUUGACUUCCCCAGCGAAUUUACUUUCACUUUCCCAACGGGUUAUCUUUUAUUUUUGCCA
rnacentral:lncRNA from 1 species